ACGUCGGUAGCGUAGUGGUAACACACAUCCCCAGUAUGUAUGAAACGCGCGGGUUCGACUCCCUUCUGAAGUU